rnacentral:lncRNA from 1 species
GUUGAUUUAAGGUUUAUUUAGAAUUAGAAUUUGGUUUAGGUUAGGAUUUGGUUAGGAUUUUUUUAGGAUUUGAUUAGAAUUUGAUUAGGAUUUGACUAGAGUUUGACUAGGAUUUGUCUAGAAUUUAUCUAGAAUUUGUCUUGGAUUUGAUCAAGAUUUUAUUAGGGUUUGAUUAGGAUUUGAUUAGUAUUUGAUAAGGAUUUGAUUAGGAUUUGAUUAGGAUUACAUUUAAAUUUUAUUAGGAUUCAUUUAGGAUUUUUUUGAGAUUUGAUUAGGAUUUAUUUAAGAUUUGAUUAGGAUUUGGUUAUAUUUUUUUUAGGGUUCGAUUAGGAUUUGAUUUAGAUUUGAAUAGGAUUUGAUUAGGAUUUAUUUAAGAUUUGGAUAGGACUUAUUUAGAGAUUGACUAAAAUUUGAUAAGAAUUUGACUAAGGUUUGACUAAGAUUUGAUUAAGAUUUGACUAGAUUUUAAUUGAAAUUUAAUUAAGAUUUUAUUUUAAUAUUUUAUUAA